GAAGAACGCUUGAGGCGUGCUUAACACAUGCAAGUCGAACGGAAAGGCCCUGCUUUUGUGGGGUGCUCGAGUGGCGAACGGGUGAGUAACACGUGAGUAACCUGCCCUUGACUUUGGGAUAACUUCAGGAAACUGGGGCUAAUACCGGAUAGGAGCUCCUGCUGCAUGGUGGGGGUUGGAAAGUUUCGGCGGUUGGGGAUGGACUCGCGGCUUAUCAGCUUGUUGGUGGGGUAGUGGCUUACCAAGGCUUUGACGGGUAGCCGGCCUGAGAGGGUGACCGGCCACAUUGGGACUGAGAUACGGCCCAGACUCCUACGGGAGGCAGCAGUGGGGAAUAUUGCACAAUGGGCGGAAGCCUGAUGCAGCAACGCCGCGUGCGGGAUGACGGCCUUCGGGUUGUAAACCGCUUUCGCCUGUGACGAAGCGUGAGUGACGGUAAUGGGUAAAGAAGCACCGGCUAACUACGUG
rnacentral:rRNA from 1 species